AAAUCCGCCCGUCCCUCGCUGUCAGGAGCUGGAGCCGUUCCGGACGACCACCCAUCGCAGGCCUCCCUCCUCGCUGGUUACUGGCCAGAGACCUCCAUUCAUUGGCGCACGAACCUCGCCAUAGCCUGCUUGAGCGGCCUCAUUUCAUCACAUCUGGCUUCCCACCGAAGUGAUGUAAGAGGGAACGAGAUGUGAGCAGAUCUUCAGUUUAGAUCUUGGAGGUAUAUCCACUGUGGUUCUAAAUGGC